CAUGAGCCAGGAGAUCAUAACCUGAGCUGAAAUCAGAUGCUCAAUCAACUGAGUCACCCAGGUGUCCCAAGCUUCCUUUUUGAGGGUUUCCAUCUACCACCUACUUCUACUUACCUACAUCCCACACAAUAUGGACAGGAAAAAAAGCAGAGUGCAUUUUAUAAAUUCAGAGGAUGGAAGACAGCAGCAAUUAAUUAAUGAAGACUGAAGAAAUACUUAUUAUAAUGUUUAAAAUGUCCUUUUGUACUUAUUUGACAAAAAUCCCAAGAUUCAUCAGUUUCUGGAAACUCAACGCAAGGUAAGAGCUGCAGCUGACUUUGAAUCUGACAUAUGUGUGAAGUAAGAACCCAAUCGACAUUGAAAUGCCAGUCUGUGAUUUCCCUUGAGGUAUUGCUUUAGUUUCUGUUCCAUCAAAAGCACACCAGCUGUAACUAUGUGUUAAAUAUUUAUUUUGGAGAUGGAUAGAAAGGAAAAUUAGACACAGCCUCCACUUUCAAAGAUUUUAAUCUGUUAAGGGUGACAGACUGAAGGGAGUACACAAAUCAGAUUUAGGGAGUGAACAAGAUAGUGGUUGUGGGGAAAAUGUUGAAGGUGAACUGCAAAAGGAAUAUUGAAGCCCUGUGGGUCUGAGAACAGAAAUGCUGUUGUUGGGAUGUCUUUUAAUUCCCAUCUAGGUUGAUAGGGAGAAUUUUUUAAUACAUUCCACCCGAAUGUGGAAUCUGAUAACACUCAUUAGUUUGCCCAUGGUUUCUAGUAGUUUUAUGACAUCUACACACUUAAACUUUGGAAUGGUGUGUCCCUCAUGGUGGAGGGGAGGCGAAGCACAUAAACAAUUUCAGGGACUUCUUUCUAAAGUCCUUAGGCAAUCAUCCAACCUCUGUGUGUCUCAGUUUCUCAAUCUGUAAAACAGUAAUGCAAUAUCUAUUCCACAAAAUAGUUGUGAGAAUUAAAUGAGAUAAUCAUAUAAAGUAUCUAGCACAGAUCCUAGACCAAAUGUUCAAUAAAAAGCAGUCAUUAUUUUAUCCUUUCUUUCUUUUUUCUGUGAGACUGGCUUUCCUUCACUGUGACUGAUGAGACAGUAACCAAGCUGGGGGAUCAAACAAGGGACGCUUCACCAAGAAUUCCACAUGAAUGGUUUACGAUGUUGGUGAAAUGUUCUCUAUGAUACCACAAAAUGUCUUCUUAAAACCAACCAAAUAAUGUUGAUCAGUAAAUUUCCUUCUUCAAUGAUCUCUGUGGACAGAAGAGUUUGAGGCACAUGAACAAGGAAUGCUCAAGAUUAUUGGGAUCUGGAAGGUACUUUGUGAACACAUGAGGCUGCGCACCUGUACUCUAUGAUGGUGGUUGACAUUGGUGGUGGGAAGAUUUCAACUUUUCUCUAAUUUAAGAAGAUUUAAAUAAAGCAUCCAAAGUGUUGCUGCCAACAUGAAGAAAAGCUGUGUGUCUUACAAUAUUCUACUGGACUUACCGUAGAUUAGUUCUUUGGGGAUAUCUGGAACUAGUGUACCUGCACGUAAAGAUGUAAAGUUACUCAUAAGAUAAAUGUGUUUUCAGGAUGUCAGAUUGCUGUUAUCAGUAGAGCUAAAUCCAGAGACUAGAGUGAAUGGAGAAACUCAUUAACUUACUGUAAAAGUGAACGUAUGUCUUUGAAGGACAUCAUUUCUAACUUUAAAUACAGAUAAGCCCAAUAUAAUGUGAUUUAAUUGGCCUAUAUUCUCUAAAUUUAGUAGUACCAAUUCCUGAGAUUUUGAAAUUAUUUAUAAAAAAAUAAACAUAACAUAUUUUAGAAGCCUUUUUGGUCAAAGCUGUAUUAUAUAAUAGGUUUUAUUUUCUUUGGCAUUUUAUGAAAAAGUCAAAAAAUAGCUCGACCUGUGGUGUACUUACUGGUAAAUGUUUAUUAAUCAGCUCUGGAGAUGAGGUUAGGGAAGUCUUGAUUCAUAGCAUUUGACAAUUAACAUGAUGUAAAUACUCCUACAUGGCCGGUUUCAAACUACCACUGGGAUGUCAACUAGCUUAAAAACCUCCUGAAAGUUUAAUAAGUACCUCUUACAAUACAGAAUCAGUCAGCUCCAGCACACUGGCUAAGACUGAAUUUGUACAAACCAUAAAAUGAUCUUCAGAACUUAAGACUUUGUCAAAUUAGUUACCUAAUGUGGACAGGGAACCUCAGAUACUCUGCCUUAUGACCCUCCAAAUACCCAUAGAAGAAAGGAAAACAUAAUAAGAAUAAGAAUGGGAAAAUUCUACUAUCUUUGCCAUAUCCAGGAUUAUGCAUCAAAUAUAUUGAAAAAGUAUAUGGAAUUUAAUGAAUAGUUCCUUAAGACUUUGAGAUAAAUGACUGCCUCUAAAAUAUCAAGAUUUUAGUAGUAAUAACAUGU